AUAUAAACUAUUUGAACUUCAUAGCUAAUUUGAUUCAACCGCAGAAUGCAGGGACUCCUUCACUCUCCAUAGGAAUCACUGAAAUUCUUAACACAAACCUUCUGACGGAACUAACCACUGAUGACAUUGGAUACGUCUACCAAAGGUUUACUUAUCCUUACUGCUACUGAAAGUUUCUGAUGUUAAAAGAUUGUAACCAGGGGCAUGAUUUUAAACAAUCGGCGAUAAGCUUUCCUUAUGCAUUAUGCAGCAUGGACUAAGCUCGUGGGUUUACAAUUAAACCCACACUCUGUUUGUUUUGUGGGUUCAUGGGCUGUUGCUCAUCUGUUAUACAGAUAAACAAGGCGCAACAUUAACUAGAAAGCUGGGGCCACUUCUCUUAAUGCCUAGAUCCCCUUAUCAUGUUUGCUGUAGCAUGAUCAUUAUUGCAAACAUCUAAAAUCACUUCAAUGUCGACUUAUAGCCUGACUGUAUUCACGAGUUGCGGAAUAGGAAAGGCAUACGAUCCCAACUACCGGUAUAAAUUUGUACACUAGUGCAGUGAAUUUUACUUGUUGCACCAACUGGAAAAGAUUAGGAACUUUCUUCGCUUAUCACCUAGUGCAAGCUCAACAACUUUUGAGUUAUGGCAUUGCUUGUACAUGGAUGUCCAUUUGUUGAGCUCAAUUUCCUUUCUUUUGCAGUAGCCCAGGGAAACUGUUAAGUGUCCCUAUUCCGACAUUUGAAACCCUUACUCAAUUUGGCGUCGCUACUGUCUCUGCUAAGAAUAUUGGUUAAGUGGAAGCAUCAUAUAGCUUAACGUUUGACUGCUCAAGAGGUGUUGUGGUCAUGGAGGUAACAUUAACUACCAUAUAGAUUCUAAUUCCUAACCACUCGGUGAAGGAUACAAUCCAAUUUCAAUGUUUCAAUGGUUGCAAGAACAAUUCUUCAUUUUGAAGCUGAGCGAGGUUACAAUUCGGUCAUUUAAAAUUUACCCAGCAACUGAUAAAGCUGCAUGAUCUGUAUGUGCUGUUGCCACAUACAAUAUGUAUAUGUAUGAGUUUGAUCGUGCUGUUUGGACUGCUUUUGGCUAUUUUU